UACGAAGGGGGCUAGCGUUGCUCGGAAUUACUGGGCGUAAAGCGCACGUAGGCGGCUUCUUAAGUCGGAGGUGAAAUCCUGGAGCUCAACUCCAGAACUGCCUUCGAUACUGGGAAGCUCGAGUCCGGGAGAGGUGAGUGGAACUGCGAGUGUAGAGGUGAAAUUCGUAGAUAUUCGCAAGAACACCAGUGGCGAAGGCGGCUCACUGGCCCGGUACUGACGCUGAGGUGCGAAAGCGUGGGGAUCAAACAGG
rnacentral:rRNA from 1 species